UUGGAGGGCAAGUCUGGUGCCAGCAGCCGCGGUAAUUCCAGCUCCAAUAGCGUAUAUUAAAGUUGUUGCAGUUAAAAAGCUCGUAGUUGAACUUCGGGAUCAAUGGAUUGGUCAUGCCGUUGGUAUGUACUGGUCGUAUUGGUUCUCACCUUCUAAGGAACCAUAAUGUCAUUAAUUUGAUGUUUUGGGGAAUUAGGACUGUUACCUUGAAAAAAUUAGAGUGUUUAAAGCAGGCAUACGCUUGAAUACAUUAGCAUGGAAUAAUGAAAUAGGACGUUCGAUUCUAUUUUGUUGGUUUCUAGGAUCGACGUAAUGAUUAAUAGGGAUAGUUGGGGGCAUUAGUAUUCAAUUGUCAGAGGUGAAAUUCUUGGAUUUAUUGAAGACUAACUACUGCGAAAGCAUUUGCCAAGGAUGUUUUCAUUAAUCAAGAACGAAAGUUAGGGGAUCGAAGACGAUCGGAUACCGUCGUAGUCUUAACCAUAAACUAUGCCGACUAGGGAUCGGAUGAUGUUAAUUUUUUAAUGACUCAUUCGGCGCCUUACGUGAAAC
rnacentral:rRNA from 1 species